GAAAUGCGAUAAGUAACGUGAAUUGCAGAAUUCAGUGAAUCAUCGAAUCUUUGAACGCACAUUGCGCCCGCCAGCACUCUGGCGGGCAUGCCUGUUCGAGCGUCAUUUCAACCCUCAGAACCCCUUGCGGGAUCUGGCGUUGGGGAUUGGCAUCCAGCCAGCCCCGAAAUCUAGCGGCGGUCCCUCCGCGACCUCCCCUGUGCAGUAGCGAUACCUCGCAGCGGGACAGCGGUCUGACCACGCCGUAAAACCCCCAACUUCUCAAGGUUGACCUCGAAUCAGGUAGGAAUACCCGCUGAACUUAAGC
rnacentral:misc_RNA from 1 species